UAAUAUGUCAUCUUGAAUGUCGACAACACAACUUUGUUUUCAUUCUACAUAUGUGCAGCCGAGCAGAGAAACCGGUGAUUUUGUCUAUAAUGAUAAUAGUAGUGGUCUAUACCAUAUCACCCCUAAUAAGGGGUGAUAAUAAUCUUAUCAGAAAGUGGUAUAGUAUAGAAACCUACUCUUAUCAUUGCAGACAAAACUAUCGAUUCCUGUGGUCCGAGAUGCAGAUGUUAUGCUCGACAGUGUUCAUACGCCUAACAUGCUUUAGUGAUUCGGUCUUGGCAGUUCAUGAAGUCCUGCACGUCGACUGGAAAAACUUGCACAUGUUUUGGAAUUAUGGAAACCUAAGAAAGACCCAACGAAAUCGUAAGAGGCGGCAUGUCUACCACUUGUGUUCCAGACAAA